rnacentral:rRNA from 1 species
UUAUGUACAUGUCUAUAGCAUAGCAUUAAUGUACCCAUUAGAACUCUGUAGUUAAGUGCGCUCAGGAUAGAGUAGUACUAGGAUGGGUGACCGCCCAGGAAGUCCUAGUGUUUUACAUGCC